rnacentral:lncRNA from 1 species
CCUCGUAAUCUCCUGCUUCUCCAUACAUCUUCCCGAGAACUGAAUAAGCCACUGCGUCUGGAAUCCACCCAUUGGAUCUCGCUCGUUCGUAGAGACUCAAAACCUCCUCCACCUUACCUAAUUUGGCAUACACGUCGAGGAUGGCGGAGUAAGUCACUUCGUCUGGCAUUAAUCCCGUCUUGUACAUCCUCUCAAACCAAUGAAUGGCUCUGUCGAAUUUACUGCACCGUUUCGCGCAGGUGAUAAUCGUGGAAUAAGUCACAUUAUCGAGCUCAAUUCCAGAAUCGAUCAUGUCGGUGGCGAGAAUUUCCACAGCGUCAAAUUGUUUCCCGUACCGGAGAUUCUUUAUUGCAACAUUGUAGAAAAUGGUAUCCAG